rnacentral:rRNA from 1 species
UACAGAGGUCCCGAGCGUUGUUCGGAUUCACUGGGCGUAAAGGGUGCGUAGGUGGCAUGGCAAGUUUGAUGUGAAAGCUCAGGGCUUAACCCUGAAAUGGCAUUGAAUACUGCUGUGCUGGAGGUUUGGAGGGGGGACUGGAAUUCUCGGUGUAGCAGUGAAAUGCGUAGAUAUCGAGAGGAACACCAGUGGCGAAGGCGAGUCCCUGGACAACACCUGACACUGAGGCACGAAAGCCGGGGGAGCGAACGGG